GCUGCGCUUCACGCGCGCGGGAUUCCCUAACUAGGGUAGCCGGCGACGGAUGGGACGGCGAAGCAGAGCAGGGCUAGGCCUGCUGUGGAGUGGACGGCCGAGGGAAUUCGCCGGUCGGCGCGCCAGGACCGGCGGCCGAAGCCUCCGUCGACCGGACCCUCCACCCUAUAAAUAGGGCCUUCUGGGGCUCGAUGAAGGGAGAGGUCGAGGAGAGAGAGAGAAGGCAAGUAAAAUCGGUGGGAAGCAUUGCCGACGGCCUCUGUUUGGGCUCCCCUCGGUGCUAUGUUUCGGACUCGCCGGAUCGGGGUGUUUUGUUUGGUUCGAGCGAGUGAUGCACACCACCUGUUCGAUCAAAUGCUCGAACGAGAUCUCGUCUCCUCUGAAUUUCGGUGGGGGGAAUGGCCCGUCAGUUCGGCGACGUCACCGUGGUGACCGGUGGAAAUCCGGCGAGCGAAUGUACUCUAGCCGGUUGAAGAGCGUCAUGUGCAUGGCUGGGGUCUGGAUGUUCUUGAAUUGGCAAGCAAACCUUCGGUAUUCUGGGCG